AGGAGGAACAACCGCAGUGGCAGGGCCCUGGAGCCCUGGAUUCAGCUCCCACAAUAACUCCGGAGCUCUCCGCCUGCAGGGCCUGGAGGCUCCAGGGCGGG
rnacentral:pre_miRNA from 1 species